AAAGUCGUAACAAGGUUUCCGUAGGUGAACCUGCGGAAGGAUCAUUUCUGAUAUACAAUAAGCUCCAAACGUCUGUUUGAAGUAGUUUACAAACACCAAAGAACACGGCAUUGUCUGACUAGAUUAUAAUAAUCAAAACUUUCAACAACGGAUCUCUAGGCUCUU
rnacentral:misc_RNA from 1 species